rnacentral:lncRNA from 1 species
GGUAGGUUUUCAAUUAUCUUAAAAACAUGUCAUUAGUAUUUGAACAAUUUUUGUUAACUGUCUGUUUACAGUGAUUUUUGGUUAAGUUCUGCAUCCAACACCAUGGCAUGCAUUGAUCUCUUCACAAUGUUCUAUAUGCUCAAGCAUCAUUAUCUAGUGUAUCAUUAUCCCUUGCUCAAUACUUAAUAUUUGUUUCUAUUCAUGUUUUAUGGAAGUCCCUACUCCCUUCUUCAAUGACCAAAACUUUACCUUGUACUUAUUUUAAAAGGGAGGUUACCCCAUUUAGGUUAUUGUUGCAUUGCAUAGGCUUGUCAGACCUCUUAUUAAUUAUUAGUAAACAUUUAUGAGAGGCAGUAGAGAGGUUCAAUAUGAAUGGUCUGAACCAAUUAGGCAGUUAUUAUGUGUGUCUGUCUCUUGUACUAUAACUUUUUCUGUUUUGAAAACCAUUCCCCAUAGGCUAAAGUAAUAAAUUCAAUGUUUAUUCAUUAGUUUUAUGAAUCAUAGAUACCAGUUUCUAAUCAUUGUAAUAUAAACACCAAUGACUAAUCAUUGUUAGCAACUUGUCUGACAUUGUUUUGAAUGCAGGUUAAAGGACUUCUCAAAGACAAGAAGUUGGAAACACUUGUUGAUGCAGAGCUAAAGGGAAAUUAUGAGGAUGAUGAGGUAGAGCAGUUAAUCCAAGUUGCUUUACUAUGCACACAAGGGUCCCCUAUGGAAAGACCUAAGAUGUCUGAGGUGGUUAGAAUGCUAGAAGGUGAUGGUUUGGCCGAAAAAUGGGAGCAAUGGCAGAAAGAAGAGACGUACCGACAAGAUUUUAACAACAACCACAUGCAUCACCAUAAUGCAAAUUGGAUAGUAGUAGAUUCAACUUCACAUAUCCAGCCAGAUGAACUCUCAGGUCCUAGAUGAUCCGUUUGAAGAUUCUAUCAUAUCCACUAGUGAAUACACAAUCCUUUUUCCUCUGCCUGAAAGAGAUAAACUUUCAUGAUUUGUGCAUAUGCUUUUCACCAUCUCUUCUACUUAAUCUUUUCUUUCGAUCUUCUUGAAAUUAUCUUGUAUCUUCACGUUACAUGGUCAUUGAUCAGGUUAUGAUUAUUUAAGAAAAAAGUUUGUAAUUGUUACUGGGUUGUCAAGUUGCAGGAUAAAGCUUAGGACACAAGCAACCAACACUUUUGUCAUUGUAUGUAUGAGAAACUAGUAUAGAGCUUUUAUGAAAAUAUGUGCAAUUUUAUUUUUAUCGUUAUUGUAUUUUAGAAUUUGUUUUCUUUUGACUUGGAAAUAAAAAUAAGUAGUACAGUACUUCAGUGGUUGCUAUGUAUUUGACUUUUAAUAAUGGUUGGCAUUACACUUUCUUAGCAAAUAGUAUGUUUGGAAGAUAAUGGAAUUGGUUGUUCAAUUUCUCGUUGGAAUUUCUCUACUAACUAUAUUACUAAAUCUGAUCUUUGUAUUGAUUUUGACAUUCUUGAAAACAGAUUUUCAAUCAAUUUAACCAAAAUUAAGUUAACCUGAAAUACAUCAUUGUGAUGAUAGUAGACCAAUAAUUUUGAUGUAUGGUGAAGUUUCAACAUAUGGCAGGAAAGAAGAGUUUGUAUGCCUAAUUAACCUAUGGAGCAAGUUUUCCAUGGUCACAAGACUGUCACAAGUCUUGGGCACACUCACAAGAAGAAAUUAGAAUUAAUUUUUAAAAUAAUUGAAAGAAUAAAAGGUAGAAUUAAUAUUUUGUGAGUUUUCUUAAGAGGUUUAUAUUUGGUUUUGUGGUCAUACAAGAAUAAUCCUAACAUAUGAGAUAAAAUGAAAGUUGGCCACAUGCACCUAAGAUUAUGACCGUGAAUAAACUAUCAAUUUAGUUUUAAACUAUCUAGUCUCUAAACAAUAUAAAUAUAACAAGUGAUUAAUUCUUAAAGUAAAUAAAAUCUAUCAAUGUAGUCUCUAUUAAAUUGACAGAUUUUUAUAUAUUUUAAGGAAUAAAUUGAAAAUUUUCUAUACUUUAUGAAGAAUUAUUCAUUAUAUUUAUAUAGUUUAAGACUAAAUUGAGAAGAAAAUAAUAGUAAAGAGAUUCAAUUAAUUAUAUAUCCUUCUACAAUCACUUUCAAGUAAAUAAAUACCAACUUUCUUGAUGAUCACAGUAUCUUAUGAUGAGGUUGUCACAGGUGAGCCUGAACCCACUCUAGCUAGCUUGGUUAUAUACCAUGAUAUCGUGAAUGUGGACUAUAUAAAACAUGGAGAGAGUAAGUUCAGCUUCUAAAGUCUCCUUUCUUUUUUGGGCUAUUUUGGUGCUUCAUUUGCUCCUUAAUGCUUCUUCAAAUGUGGAAAGUGAGCGGUUACUUUUGUCUUUACUCUAUCAUCACACAGUUAUUUUUUUAUUUUUUUUGAAUAAGCACUUUAUGAAUCUUUUAAUUGUUCAUCACACACAAAACUCUCUGGACCAGAGUUCGAACCCGGCUGAAGGUGUCUAGUCUAAUAAUAUUGGUAUUGUCAGUUGAGCUAGGCCUUAGCAUCCACUGGUUGCCCUUUAGCUUUAUCCGUAUUAGGCAUAUGUUUGAUUGAAAAAUAAACUUCACAUUAAACUUGGAGUAGUAGCUUUUGUAAUAUUCAAUCUUGCUAAAUAAGAUAGGAUCAUAUGAUUGAAGUAUUUUAGUGAUAUUCAUAUACGAUGUUGAUGUUGUGUGCAUCACUAGAUUAGGUUGUUUCUUGAUUGUUAAGUGCUUAAUCUCAAACGUCACCGAUUGAACAGAAUUGGUGAUGAUAAUACUUUGUGAUUGUGUAAGACUUCAUAAUUAUAUUAGAGAAUGGCUUUUCAAUAUGGUUUUUUCUUGUUACUUUUUUUUUUUUUUUCUUCUCACAUUUGCUUUGAUGUAUAGUAUUAUAGUUAGCCUAGUAUUUAGGUGUAUGCUACUAAGGCUGUCUAAUGAAAGUCGAGGUUCAAGUUACUGAAUAUUAUUAAGGAUGUUUGAAACUGAAUAUUGCUUCCUUUUAGCACAGGUGAUACCCUUAUUGCAUUGAAGAGCAACUUAAAUGAUCCUAACAGUGUUUUUCAAAGUUGGAAUGCUACCAAUGUCAAUCCCUGCGAGUGGUUUCAUGUUACAUGCAAUGAUGAUAAAAGUGUGAUCCUUAUGUAAGUUGAUAUGCCCUCUUUACCUGUAGUUUUAUGAAUUGUCCACAUAGUGAAUAGAAUUUUAUUUUUUGUUUUUUUGCAUUUGGACAGUGAUCUUGAAAAUGCAAACCUUUCUGGUACCCUGAUUUCAAAAUUUGGUGAUCUUUCAAAUUUGCAGUACUUGUAAGCUGUGACUCAGAUAUGCAUUGUAGUAAAUUUGACUUUUAUUGAGCAGAUUGAGCUCAACCUUGUUUCUUGAAUGAUACUCUUGUUAGUUGGUAAUAAGAUCUGAACUUUCUCCUCAUUUCAAUGGCAGGGAGCUUUCUAGUAAUAAUAUAACAGGAAAAAUCCCAGAAGAGUUAGGAAAUUUGACAAACUUAGUGAGCUUGGAUCUUUACUUGAACCAUUUAAGCGGUACCAUACUGAAUACAUUGGGCAACCUUCACAAACUAUGUUUCCUGUAUGACAUGCUUUCCUUAUUCUCAUAUCUUUGAUCUGCAAAAUUUAUUUAUGUUGGUUUCAAUUAUUUUCUUCUUCUACCUUGUUCAACAUCUUUUUUGUGUGUUUCUCGAUGCAAAAUGUGGUAGAAUUUGUAGCCUCUACAACAAGAUUUAUGCGUAAAAUGUAUAGUCCUAUUUUCAUCAUUGCUGCUACUACUGGUUAUUAUUACAUGUUGCAAUAGUGUUUUAUAUACCAAUUGAAUGAAAGAUUUACGUAUUUCAGUUAAGACUUGACUUAAGACUAUAGACCAUGUUGGGGGUGGUUGGGAAUUUAUUUUAUUUUAUUUUGGGUAGACUAAUACUGCAGGUUUUCCACCUUUGAAUUAGAUAAAGGAAAUCUUAACACUAUCUGUUACAUGUUUUGAUCAACUUGAUCUCUUCCUAUCAAAGAUGUAACCAAUUCAACGUCAUACUUCAAGUUUCUGAUUUGACUUGUUUAUAGUAAUGCUUGAUUUAGCAUAACCACAUGUUCUUCUUAAAUCAAAUAAUCUUGAUUAGAUGUGAUAAUCCAUCACUCUACCAUUGCACAUUUCAAAUAAUUAAAGCUACGAUCCUGAUAGUAUUUUAAAGGACUUGUUACAAUAUAUGAAAUAUCUUAUAAUAUCUUAAUAUUAUGUUGUAGUAUCUGAAUUAAUCUUACAGGGUUAGUUUAUUAUAUUCUAACAGGACUGCUGUCCGAUAGUUUGCAUGGUCUUUCCGUGGAUUUUUUCUUUUUCUUUCCUGCAUUAAAGCGAAUUUGCUUUAGCCACUGUAUAACAAUUUCUAAUAUGAUUAUCUUAUUCAUUCAUGUAUUUGGAACUAAGACUUUAAUUAUGAAUGUAUUGGUUAUGCCUUGAGUGAGAUAUGUUUUCCAUUCUUUACCAUUUCACUUUGCAUAAUAGAAUUUUGUUAUCUAUCUUCCCUUCUUCUUUUAUGCAUUUGAUGACUAGUUGCCUAUCAUGAUUUAUUACUCUACUUUAUCAGUUGUAUCUUGUAUAUAGCAAACUGAUUAUUCAUCUUGCUCUCCAAAAUAGGCGUCUCAACAAUAACAGCUUGACUGGAGUCAUUCCCAUUUCUUUGUCAAAUGUUGCUACGCUGCAAGUUCUGUGAGUGUUCCUCCUUUAUUUAGAUUUCCUCCGAGUGAUAGUCGGAGUAGAUAUUUUUUGUUUUGUUUUGAAGAAAUCAAAGUAGAUUACUAUUUAUGUUAGAAUCAAUAUACUUCUGUGUAAAUUGACACAACAGCGAUCUCUCAAACAACAAUCUAGAAGGGGAUAUCCCAGUGAAUGGUUCAUUUUUAUUAUUUACCUCUUCCAGGUUAGUGUAAAUCAUUAUGUUCUUAUUUAGGCCUUAUUGUUGACAGAUGACCUGAAACUUUGCUAAUUCCCCGUGUUUGACUUCACAGUUAUCAAAAUAAUCCUCGUUUGAAACAACCAAAAAUCAUUCAUGCACCACUUUCUCCAGCAUCAUCAGCUUCUUCAGGUUCAUUGACGUCUGUUUUUUAUUGACAGUGAUUUUAACUUGUUAAAGAAUAACUUGAACUGAAAGCUUCAAUUCAGAAAAUAACUCUAGCAUGCUCAUAACUCUCUCGAAUUGAAACCAAACUCAAAGUGCGUCUAUUUCAUGAAUAGAGUUAAAAUUUCUAAUUGAACUGUAAUCCCUUUUUCAGGUAACAGUAAUACUGGAGCUAUUGCUGGAGGAGUUGCUGCAGGUGCUGCUCUGUUGUUCGCAGCUCCAGCAAUUGCACUUGUUUAUUGGCAAAAAAGAAAACAAUGGGGUCAUUUCUUUGACGUUCCUGGUUAGUUGAAUAACAGAAAAGAUGGUAUACAUGCUGAUAAAUGCUGUGUUUUAUAGUUACUAUUACUUGUGAACCAACCCACUUGGGUUGGCAUAGUGGUACUGGCUUGGGAUUUAGGAGUGUGCUUCUCCUCAAGGUCUCAGUUCGAUUCUCUCUGGUGUCAAUUUGGGUGGGCUAAUUUAGCUUCUUCAAAAAAAAAAACUAUUACUUGUGAACCAAUAUUUUAAUUGUCUUUUACUGCGGCAGCUGAGGAGGAUCUUGAACACCUUGUUCAGAUUACAAGGUUUUCUCUACGUGAACGGCUAGUAGAAACAGAUAACUUCAGUAACGAAAACGUUCUAGGUAGAGGUAGAUUUGGAAAGGUUUACAAAGGUCACUUAACUGAUGGCACUCCUGUAGCAAUACGAAGACUUAAAGAGGAACGCGUCGCGGGUGGAAAGCUGCAGUUUCAAACUGAAGUUGAAUUGAUCAGCAUGGCUGUGCAUCAUAAUUUGCUUCGCCUUCGUGAUUUUUGCAUGACACCUACUGAACGCUUGCUUGUGUAUCCUUACAUGGCUAAUGGAAGUGUAUCGUGUUUACGAGGUGUCCUAUCUUUUCUCUCAUAUAUCCUUUUCUGACAUUAAUGUUUUAAGUGUUAGCGUUCAACAUCAAAUUUGUUUCCGAUUUAUUAGUAAAAAAACAACAAUUUAUAUUUCCUUGAUAUUAGCUGGAAGCUAUGUAAACACAAACAUGGAAAGUCUUAAAUGGCCCGAAUUUUCAAAUGCAAAUUAAUGCUCUUAAUGUUGAAUUUCAAAAGUUCCAGUUUCAAACUAAAACCGCGUCUAUGUAUAUUGAUUCUGUUGUUGUAGAACGUAAUGGCUCUCAACCUCCGCUUGAGUGGCCAAUGCGGAAAAAUAUUGCGUUGGGAUCUGCCAGGGGGAUUGCUUACUUGCAUUAUAGUUGUGACCCUAAGAUUAUUCACCGUGAUGUGAAAGCUGCAAAUAUAUUGUUGGAUGAGGAAUUUGAAGCAAUUGUUGGAGAUUUUGGUUAUGCAAUGCUUAUGGAUUACAAAGAUACCCAUGAUACUACUGCUGUCUUUGGUACGAUUGGGCAUAUAGCACCUGAAUAUCUCUUAACUGGAAGGUCUUCAGAAAAGACCGAUGUUUUUGCAUAUGGUGUGAUGCUUCUUGAACUAAUAACUGGACCGAGGGCUUCUGAUCUAGCACGUCUUGCUGAUGAUGAUGUGAUAUUGCUUGAUUGGGUAGGUUUUCCUUUAACUUUAAAUAUGUCAUUAGUAGUUGAACAAUUUUGUUAACCGUGUAUUUACGGUGAUUUUUAGUUAAAUUCUGCCUCCAACACUGUGGCAUGCAUUAAUUUCUUCGCAUAAUUAUGUAUGCAGGUUAAAGGACUUCUUAAAGAGAAGAAGUUCGAAACACUGGUAGAUGCAGAGUUAAAGGGAAAUUAUGAUGAUGAUGAGGUAGAGCAGUUAAUCCAAGUUGCUUUACUAUGCACACAAGGGUCCCCUAUGGAAAGACCUAAGAUGUCUGAGGUGGUGAGAAUGCUAGAAGGCGAUGGUUUGGCCGAAAAAUGGAUGCAAUGGCAGAAAGAAGAGAAGUACUGACAAGAUUUUAGCAACAACCGCAUGCAUCACCCUUCUAAUGCAAAUCGGAUAUAGUAGUAGAUUC